rnacentral:rRNA from 1 species
UACACAUGCAAGUCGAGCGGUAACAGAUCCAGCUUGCUGGAUGCUGACGAGCGGCGGACGGGUGAGUAAUGCAUAGGAAUCUGCCCGAUAGUGGGGGAUAACCUGGGGAAACCCAGGCUAAUACCGCAUACGUCCUACGGGAGAAAGGGGGCUCCGGCUCCCGCUAUGGGAUGAGCCUAUGUCGGAUUAGCUAGUUGGUGAGGUAACGGCUCACCAAGGCCACGAUCCGUAGCUGGUCUGAGAGGAUGAUCAGCCACAUCGGGACUGAGACACGGCCCGAACUCCUACGGGAGGCAGCAGUGGGGAAUAUUGGACAAUGGGGGAAACCCUGAUCCAGCCAUGCCGCGUGUGUGAAGAAGGCCCUCGGGUUGUAAAGCACUUUCAGCGAGGAAGAACGCCUAGCGGUUAAUACCCGCUAGGAAAGACAUCACUCGCAGAAGAAGCACCGGCUAACUCCGUGCCAGCAGCCGCGGUAAUACGGAGGGUGCAAGCGUUAAUCGGAAUUACUGGGCGUAAAGCGCGCGUAGGUGGCUUGAUAAGCCGGUUGUGAAAGCCCCGGGCUCAACCUGGGAACGGCAUCCGGAACUGUCAAGCUAGAGUGCAGGAGAGGAAGGUAGAAUUCCCGGUGUAGCGGUGAAAUGCGUAGAGAUCGGGAGGAAUACCAGUGGCGAAGGCGGCCUUCUGGACUGACACUGACACUGAGGUGCGAAAGCGUGGUAGCAAACAGGAUUAGAUACCCUGGUAGUCCACGCCGUAACGAUGUCGACCAGCCGUUGGGUGCCUAGCGCACUUUGUGGCGAAGUUAACGCGAUAAGUCGACCGCCUGGGGAGUACGGCCGCAAGGUUAAAACUCAAAUGAAUUGACGGGGGCCCGCACAAGCGGUGGAGCAUGUGGUUUAAUUCGAUGCAACGCGAAGAACCUUACCUACUCUUGACAUCCUGC